AGACCUCGGUUUCUUUGCCCUGUGAACUCCUCAUAAAUUUAUUAUUUCCUCGCCUAAAAAGUGUGAAAGGGAGCUCCCUGGUGGCUCAGUGGGUUGAGGAUCCAGUGCUGUCACUGCUGUGGUGUGGGUUUGAUCCCUGGCUCAGGAACUUCCAUAUGCCCUGGAUGCAGCCAAAAAAAAACAAAAAAAAAAACAAAAACAAAAAAAACAAAAAAAAGAAGAAAAAGAAAAAGAAAAAAGAAAAAAAAAGAAAAUUAAGAUAUCUCGGAGUUCCCUGGUGGCUCAGAGCAUUGAGGACACAGUGUUGUCACUGCUGUGUCUCUGGUUACUGCUGUGGCACAGGAUUGACCCCUGGCCCAGAAACUUCUAUAUGCCACAGGAGUGGCCAGGAAAAAAAUUACAUUAUAUAACUCGCAAUGGAAGGAAUCAUAUUAAAAACAGAGGCAAUACAUUCUCAAAACCGAUCUCAGAAAAGCAGACUGGUAUUUGCUGUGGGGGAGGGAGUGGGAUGGACUGGGAGUUUGGGGUUAAUAGAUACAAACUAUUCUAUUACAUUUAGAAUAGAUAAGCAAUGAGGUCCUGCUAUACAGCACAGGGAACUAUAGCCAAUCACUUGUGAUAGAACAUGAGAGAAGAUAAUAUGAUAAAAAGAAUGUAUAUCUAGGUAUGAUGGGGUCACUUUGCUGUACAGCAGAAAUGGACAGAACAUUGUAAAUCAACUCUAAUAAGAAAAUUAAAAAAAAAAACCUAUCUCAAAAAAAAAGGAGGUGUAAAGUUUAAAUGUUUUCAUUUGCAGCUCCUGGUUCUGUGUGAGGCCUGAGGACUUCCAUAUAUGAGAACUCAGCACAUCCAGAGGCUCUCUGGGGCCACCUGCAGCCAGUUCAUUCUCCUGGAGAGAAAGACCCAAACCUACAGCCUUCGUGCCACAUGCUCUGCUCUGGGAUCUGGUGACACGAAGAUCCAUCACCACCUCCACCUGCAAGGGGCGUCACAGCUCAGCAGGCAGCCCUGGUGCCUCCGGCCCUCCUGCAGGGCUCAGGGAAGACUACAGCCCGAGAGCCCACUGCUCAGUUCGCGCUGGGGAACUGCUCCGAAGAGGUAGGGCAGAGGCCAGUUUAUAUAUGAUUUGGGGCGGCGGGGGGGACUAGGAAAUACAUACAGUCAAGCAUACAUCUUGGUCAAAGAUUACUGCUAAUCACAAAGAACAGACAUCUCAAGUUAAUGACUUUAGGGCUUUUCUGUGGAUGACAAGAGGCCGGAAUCUGGGGUCCCUGGAAUUCUUCCAAGAGAUGCAUCUAACUAACUAUCCAGGGGCCCCGUUACCAAAGCCCAGGUGGCUCUGGUUUUCCAUUAGGAACGCCUUUUAGGGGCACUGUCUGGGGCCACUGCCCGGCCUUGGGACUUAACCCUUGCGGAUCUGGGUGGUGAACGUCUCUUCUUAUUCUUUGUUCACGAACCUAUGAUCAUUUUUGAUCCCUUUCAGCGUCUGUCCCAAUCUUCCUUGCUGAGGCCUGAAUUAUAAAACAAUCCCUUCCUUUUUGAAAUCAGGUUGUCGACCAAGCAGAACUCCUCCGGAGCUAGAAUCAAGGUCAAGAACUACCGCUUGACCUUGUUCAUGCUCUUCCUGGGAAGCCUGCUCCACGGGGGGCGGGGGGGGGGGGUGUUCCUGGAUAAGCAACAGAAAGCGCCAUGAAAACCAAAUCUCAGGUCUCCACGCAGUCAUUAAAAUGACCAUGUCCCAGGGGAAAAUCAAAACAGAACGGACGCUUCUCCAGGUGUGGUCAGCUCCUCCUUUCCCCCUCCCCUCCACCAACCCAGCUGGCAGACUGGGCUUGGAGGGAGUGGAGGAAGGGGGCUGAGAGCUCUUCGCAUUCUUUUUUCAUUUUCCUUUUUGGCCGCCCCACAGCCUAUGGAAUUUCCAGGGCCGGGGUCACAUCUGAGCCACAGGUUUGACCUACACCGCAGCUGCGGCAAUGCUGGAGCCUUUAACCCACUGUGCCAAGCCAGGGAUAGAACC
rnacentral:lncRNA from 1 species